CAUAUACUCCCUCCGUCCGAAAAUACUUGUCAUCAAAAUAGACAAAAAGGAUGUAUCUACAACUAAAAUACAUCUAGAUACAUCCCCUUUUAUUCAUUUUGAUGACAAGUAUUUUCGGACGGAGGGAGUAGAUU
rfam:Triticum aestivum genome assembly, contig: Triticum_aestivum_CS42_TGACv1_scaffold_132941_2BL